GAUGAACGCUGGCGGCGUGCCUAAUACAUGCAAGUCGAGCGAACGGACGAGAAGCUUGCUUUUCUGAUGUUAGCGGCGGACGGGUGAGUAACACGUGGAUAACCUACUUAUAAGACUGGGAUAACUUCGGGAAACCGGAGCUAAUACCGGAUCAUAUUUUGAACCGCAUGGUUCAAAAGUGAAAGACGGUCUUGCUGUCACUUAUAGAUGGAUCCGCGCUGCAUUAGCUAGUUGGUAAGGUAACGGCUUACCAAGGCAACGAUGCAUAGCCGACCUGAGAGGAUGAUCGGCCACACUGGAACUGAGACACGGUCCAGACUCCUACGGGAGGCAGCAGUAGGGAAUCUUCCGCAAUGGGCGAAAGCCUGACGGAGCAACGCCGCGUGAGUGAUGAAGGUUUUCGGAUCGUAAAACUCUGUUAUUAGGGAAGAACAUAUGUGUAAGUAACUGUGCACAUCUUGACGGUACCUAAUCAGAAAGCCACGGCUAACUACGUG
rnacentral:rRNA from 1 species